rnacentral:sRNA from 1 species
CUGGAAAGGAGUAUGGGGCAUUGUUUUAUUGAAUUAUCAUUGCUAAAUAACAAUUCCAUGGGUCCUAGUGUGUCUAGGAAUCAUUUCCUUUAAUUCCAAAGUUGAAUGAGUGUUUUGGACAGCAGAGAAAGGCCCUUAGCUAGAGUAUUUCGAAAUUUCUAAGUGUGCUAAGUGUGGAGGUUGUCUUGACCUGUGAAAGAAGAGAGGGAUUCCAAGAAACUAGAGUUCUACCAAGGUUGUGGAAGAGAUCAAGUUAAAGUGUUCAAGGCAAAAGGUUCCUCGUUACUCACCCUGAAAUGUUGUGGUUGUGGUUUCCACCUACGAUGAUCGUACUUGUACGGGAGUAGAUGGCGUUGCAGAUGAGGCAGAGAUGAAGUAGCACGACGAGAGUUAUGGGAAUGACUAUGGGGGACUUAUCAUGUUUUAAGUAAUUUUAUGUUUUUGAAUAUUGAAUUUGAUAUUUGUAAGGUUUUAACUUUAUGUUGUAAGACGCUUAAACUUUAUGUUGUAAGACGCUUAAACUUUUGAUGGUUUAUUUCCGCGAUGUUAAUUGAAAAAAAAAAAUU